AUGUUUUCUAUUUCCUGUCCAGUCAUAUGGUCUAUCACAUUAGAUGUUUUCUAUUUCCUGUCCAGUCAUAUGGUCUAUCACAUUAGAUGUUUUCUAUUUCCUGUCGUCAUAUGGUCUAUCACAUUAGAUGUUUUCUAUUUCCUGUCCAUGCAAUGGUCUAUCACAUUAGAUGUUUCUAUUUCCUGUCCAGUCAGAUGGUCUAUCACAUAGAUGUUUCUAUUUCCUGUCCAGUCAUAUGGUCUAUCACAUAGAUGUUUUCUAUUUCCUGUCCAGUCAUAUGGUCUAUCACAUUAGAUGUUUUCUAUUUCCUGUCCAGUCAGAUGGUCUAUCACAUUAGAUGUUUUCUAUUUCCUGUCCAGUCAUAUGGUCUAUCACAUUAGAUGUUUUCUAUUUCCUGUCCAGUCAGAUGGUCUAUCACAUUAGAUGUUUUCAUUCCUGUCCAGUCAUAUGGUCUAUCACAUUAGAUGUUUUCUAUUUC
rnacentral:lncRNA from 1 species